GUGCAGCUUGUAGUGCAGAACCUUAAGGCAAAAGUAACCAUCAAUACUUAACACCAAGAAACGCAGACACACAAAUACACUUAUGGUCCAUUGAUCAGCUGCAUGCCUAGAUCCCACAGUGCAGACAGUUAAGAGUUCAAACCCCAACUUCCUUUUCCCCUACCCUCCAAACAAUACAAACAUUUAAUAAUAACGACUAAAAGGGUCAUUUGCAAAACUCAAUUAUUGAUGCCCUGACAUCCAAGUAGAAUUUUGAUACAAUAACAUGUAUUCUGACACAGGAUGGACUGUAUAAAUGCAAGUAGUUGUUUCAUGUUUAGGUUUCUAGGCCCAGUAAGGGAUGGGGAGGAUUUUAAAGGAGGAUUUUGACUCCCAUUGCGCUUCCCAGACUUAGACGUAAAAGAAAU
rnacentral:misc_RNA from 1 species